UGCUUGACAACUGAUUUGGAUACAGCAAAAUCUCAAUGGCAGGAAGUGUGCUACCUUCCAUGCCAUAGGCUAGGAAGCAUCACAUGCUCACGAAAGGCUUUACAAUGCCAAUCUUUAUGAGCUAAUUGCCCCACACAUGGUUUAGGUCACUUGGGCUAGCAUGCAUUGGAUGGUUAUUGCCUAUUCAGCUACUAGACCCAUCGUCACUAUUUCAUCUAUCAAAUUGUUGAAACAAGUUUUUCUAGUUGUACGUCUCUAGAAAUUUCCAGGAUACUAG
rnacentral:misc_RNA from 1 species